GCUCCUGUGGCUCAGCUGGUAGAGCGUGUGGCUGUUAACCACAAGGUCCGCAGUUCAAACCUGCGCGGGAGCG
rnacentral:tRNA from 1 species